UCGGUAUAUACCGUGGAACCAUGUUCACGGGUGACAGCUAUGAGAGAAAGAGUUUGUAAAUGCUUGUAAAGUGUUUUUAUAAAAUAGAUUUAUUAAUGAAACAGUCUGUUGAUUGGAAGGGGAAACGGGUAUUAGGACUAUACAGUUUUAAAAGACUCUUCCCUUAAGAAAAUUUGCAGUUGUGGACUUUCCUUAAAUGACUCUUCUUUAGAUCAAUUGUUUUCACCAGUUCUAGAUUGAUUCUGCAAUAAUCAACUUCACAUCCAUAAAGCCAUGAGUGUAGAUGAAGUAAAAAAUUUAUUACUAAAAAAAUUGAUAUUUUAGGUUAUUGAUUGCAGAGUCAGAGACCAAUGUGUGGAAUCUGAAAUUCUCUCUCACGAAACCCCAGCUAUCCUUCUGAUUCAACAAGGGUAUAAAGCAAUUAUAAUUUCAGGAGGUCCCAACUCAGUUCACGCAGUGGAUGCCCCACUAUACGACCCAGCAAUCUUUACUGGCAGUCUUUCAGUGCCGGAAAUUUGUUAUGCAUGCAAAUACUCAACAAGGAAUUAGGUGGAACGGUGAAGAGAAAAGAUGUUUGCGAAGAUGGGCAAUUCGAGAUCCAAAUAGAAAAGGAGUGUCCAUUGUUUAAAGGCUAAGAGACUCGGCAAAUUGUGUUACUGACCCGUGGUGACAGCGUAGAGAAGGUUGCAAAGGGGUUGCGUUGCGUCGCAAAAUCUUCACGUCAUAUUAUUUCCGCUAUUGCUGAUACUCCGUCUUUACGUAGUCCAGUUCCAUGAUUUGACUGAAAACGGACGAAAAAUGUGACAUAACUUCUUGUUCGACAUCUGUGGAUUGUAAGGACGUUUCACAUUGGAAGAACGCGAGCAGCUGUGUAUCGAUUACAUUCGGCGUACGGUUGAACGUGAUAAGAUCGUGCUCAUGUUGGUAAGAGGCGGAGUCGAUUCCGCCGUUUGUGCUGCCCUUCUCCACAAAGCACUUCUACAGGGUGAUGACUCGUCGCGAGUGCAGGCCAUCCAUAUCGACAACGGUUUUCUGCGUAAAGAUGAAUCCGAGCAGGUCGUCAAUAGUUUACAGCAACUCGGGCUCAAUCUUCGGUUAAUUUUUCUGGACCGUUCAGAAUAUUAUGAUUGGCCAAAAUGUGAUACGAGAUUAAUUGGUGCGUUGUCGUGUCACAUCUCAAUUUCUACGGUUUACAAUACUUGUUCUAUGACCGAGUUCUUUUACAGACAGGGGCUUCUUAUAUUUUCUUCUUACCGGCGAUUAGAUUUGAUGUUUCGAAUUGUUUUAGGUUGUUAAAGCAAGUUUGACUUUCUACGAUGCUUCCACCAACGUGCAUGGUAUCCAAACUUUGUCGUUGUGUCGGACUGUUAAUCCCUAAGAAAUACGUGGAAUUAUUGGCGAUAUGUUUGUUAAAGUGGCAGAUAGAACGGCUAACGAUUUAAAUCUCACUUGGUAUAAUCUAUUUCUCGGACAAGUGUCAUCAUAUAUGAAAAUAUUACAGGUACUUUGAUGCCGGAUUUAAUUGAGUCCUCUUCGCAUAUGGCUUCUUCGCUCGCUGAUGCUGUAAAGAUUUAUCAUAAUGAUUCCGAAAUGGUUCGUCAGUUGCGCCUUCCCGGUCGUAUUGUAGAACCUCUUUAAGGUUAUUGCAUUAAGGUGUUUCCUACGUUAUGGCAUUCCAACAAGAUCUUUACUCUUUUUGCAAUUUUUCCCAACAUGAUGAUGAUGAAGUAAGGGAAUUAUGUCGCGAGCUGGGUCUGCUCGCAGAAUUAGAGGUCAUCCGUCAUUUAACGUCAUCCGUUUCCUGGUCCCGGUUUGUUAAUUCGAAUUAGUUGCGCUGAAGAACCGUUCAUGGAAGUUGAUUUCGGUGAGACGCAAGUGCUGAUACGGAGGAUGUUCGAUUAUGCGAACAUGGCAACCAAGGAACAUGCCUUGCUCAAUCGGAUUGAAAUCACGAGGUCGGAAGAAGAGCGUCUUCUUCUGGAAGAACUGUCCCGUCACAACCAGUAUGUUGCCACGCUACUGCCUAGUCGCACUGUAGGUGUUCAGGAUGAUUGCCGAACUUAUAGCUAUCGCGUAGCACUGAGCUCUGAUCAGACACAACCAAACUGGAAUGAUUUAGCCACCUACGCCCGCUUAAUACCGCGUGUGUUCCAUAAUUUCAACCGUGUUUGCUACGUAUUCGGAAAGGCUGUGCGUGAAUCGGUGACAGACGUUACACCUACCUUCUUGACGAGUAACAUUUUGGCGACUUCAAGGAAAGCCGAUUAUUUGGCAAAUAAAAUAUUUCGGGAUUCGUUUUCUCCAAGAGGUUGGAGACAAGAUGGUUGAAGCCGUUUUAACUGUUCUAGGGUCUUGUAUGACCUGACAGCGAAACUAACCGCAAAAACGGAGUGGGAAGGAUUUGAUUUACGAACGUUGCUUAGGCAAAUUAUCUCCGCACUCUUUAUAGCACACGGAUACAGAGUUGUAUCAUUGACCAGAUUCAGUUGGGAAAUAUUAUGAACAGAAUGGAAUAUCUUCAUAUACUUUUGAAAUGGAAAAAUCAAUCAGCUUUGUCGUUUCGUGAAAAUCUCUUAAAAUGGCUUUAUAAGAGGAGUUCACGUGAUGACUUAUUGACAAUUCCCUAAAUAUACAUGCACACUUGUGGAAAAGAAUGGGUGCAUUUGUUUUUCGUCGAACUAGGUGGGUUGUUGUUCCUCUCCCUUGUAAAACUACCAUUUUAGCCUAAACUAAUAACUAUCAUUGAGCCUUGCGCAGUCUAGCUGCAUCCAGCCAGAUACGAGUAGAACCCGAAACAUUGUUUAGACGAAUACUGUCAAAUUUCGGUUGCAUGUUUUCACUAGAUACCAAAAUGAGCUUCCAAUUUGAAGUUGUGAGUGAUUUAUCGGAUUAUGGAUUCCUACUUUGAAAAUCAAAUUAUUUCCUUCUAAAAAUGGAUUUUGAAGUAUCGUACAUGUGGUAUUAUGUACUUGAUGAUAUCUUCGCGAAGCCUUUAAUUGACGUUUUACUAAAAAAUUCCCAUGGAAGGAAGUUCUUUCAGGAUCUGUUAUCGACCGUCUAUGUUAUGCAGUAAUUGGAUCUGCAGUUUAGUUAGAAACUUAGAAAUGUGCUCAGCAUAGAAUUUAUAUGAAAAAUGAUAUUUGAUUGGAAAAAGUUCCUGGUUGAGACAAGAGAUCAAAAAAAUGAUACUGUUUAGAAGGACGACCGGCAAUUUCAAGAUUCAUUUAUUUCCUUCCACUAUUUUUAUAUAUUUUUUAAAUUGAAUUGCAUAUCUGGGCUCCCUUCUUUUCUGUGGCCCCGUUUCCCCUUGACUUGUGAUAAGCCCGUAGGGGGUCAUGCCCCUACUGU